AUCCUUUUGUAGUUCAUAAGCGUAACGAUUGGGUUUUCAUGCACACGCAUGAGAUGUGCUUUCUACAAAUCUUGUUACGGUGUCGGCACAUCACCCAUCUGACA
ensembl:snoRNA